rnacentral:rRNA from 1 species
AACGAACGCUGGCGGCAUGCCUAACACAUGCAAGUCGAACGAGACCUUCGGGUCUAGUGGCGCACGGGUGCGUAACGCGUGGGAACCUGCCCUUAGGUUCGGAAUAACUCCCCGAAAGGGGUGCUAAUACCGGAUAAUGUCUUCGGACCAAAGAUUUAUCGCCUUUGGAUGGGCCCGCGUUGGAUUAGCUAGUUGGUAGGGUAAAAGCCUACCAAGGCGACGAUCCGUAGCUGGUCUGAGAGGAUGAUCAGCCACACUGGGACUGAGACACGGCUCAGACUCCUACGGGAGGCAGCAGUGGGGAAUAUUGGACAAUGGGCGAAAGCCUGAUCCAGCAAUGCCGCGUGAGUGAUGAAGGCCUUAGGGUUGUAAAGCUCUUUUACCCGGGAUGAUAAUGACAGUACCGGGAGAAUAAGCUCCGGCUAACUCCGUG